AUACAUGCAGUCGAGCGGACAGAAGGGAGCUUGCUCCCGGAUGUUAGCGGCGGACGGGUGAGUAACACGUGGGUAACCUGCCUGUAAGACUGGGAUAACUCCGGGAAACCGGAGCUAAUACCGGAUAGUUCCUUGAACCGCAUGGUUCAAGGAUGAAAGACGGUUUCGGCUGUCACUUACAGAUGGACCCGCGGCGCAUUAGCUAGUUGGUGAGGUAACGGCUCACCAAGGCGACGAUGCGUAGCCGACCUGAGAGGGUGAUCGGCCACACUGGGACUGAGACACGGCCCAGACUCCUACGGGAGGCAGCAGUAGGGAAUCUUCCGCAAUGGACGAAAGUCUGACGGAGCAACGCCGCGUGAGUGAUGAAGGUUUUCGGAUCGUAAAGCUCUGUUGUUAGGGAAGAACAAGUGCAAGAGUAACUGCUUGCACCUUGACGGUACCUAACCAGAAAGCCACGGCUAACUACGUGCAGCCAGCCACA
rnacentral:rRNA from 1 species